UAAUACAUGUGGAUAUAUAAAUAUUACAAAAGAAUAGGAAUCAAUACAGUACAUAAUGCAUAUUUUACUGUAUAUGUCGUAUUAUGACACAUUAUAUGUCAUAAGAAUUAUAGCUCGAAAUAUAGUACCUCAAGAUAUUGUGAUAGAAUAUAUAAGUACUUGUAAAAAUCAAAAAUAGAAAUAAAGAAAUAUGUAAAUAUAGUUUAAAGUAAAGGGGAUUUUAAUUGUCUAUUUGGUAGUAGGUAGGGGUUUUAUUAUAAAAAUUAUAAAUAUAAAUAAAAUUAGAAAUCUAUGUAUAGAAAUAUAUCCUAAAUACGUUAAGAGCUAUAUAAAAUCUCAAAGGUAAGUAAAUAUAAGUAUUUGCGGUAUGUACAAAAUAGAAUUGAAAUGAAAAUUUAUCUAUCUUGCUACCUUAUUAUCUAUAUAAUAUAUAUUUAUAGAUACAUCAAUAUAAAGGAGAAAUGCACAUGUGACUAUAAUGAUGAAAAAAUAUAUGAAUAUUCAAGUAGGGUUUAAAGAAAGGGAUUUUUUUGUUUUUAUUUGGUUAGAGGCAGGGUUUUAAUGGAAAAACUAUGAAUAUACAUUUUAUUUUGAUAUCAUUCUAAAAAUGGAGAUAUAUAAUCAAUGUAUGCAGGUAUAGAUAAAAAUACAAAAUAGAAAUAAAAAUAAGUAUUAGGAAGAGAUAGACUAUAAAUAACACCAUACAUCAAUGUACAUUUAAAAUGUACAUUUGAAUAUAAAUGCGAAAAAUAGAGAUAAAUUUAAACGCAGUAUAAAAGAAAGGGGGUUUUAAAAAAAUUUUUACUUGGAUAGAGGCAGGGUCUUUAUUUGAAGCCAUAUAAACCUUUUAGAAAUCUAAAUCUAACUAUAGAAAUAUAUAAGCAAUAUAUUAAGAUAUGUGUAAAAAUAUAAAAUAUAAUAAAAUAUAAUAGGAAUAAAUGUAAGAAAUUAUAAAAAUAAAAUUACACAUCAAUCUACGUUAUAAAUCCAAAUGUGAGUAUAAAUAUGAAAAAUAUAAAAAAAAAAAAGCUUGAAAUGCAGUUUAAAAGAGAAGGUUUCUGCUUUUGGUUCCUAUUGGGUUAGAGGCAGGGGUUUUUUGCUGGCGUUCUUUUCUGCGUGGGAUGUUUUGGGGCAUUUGCUGCAGAGGAGGUUCCGGAGGGGAUCGUGCCCGUUCUUUUCUGCCGCUGGCCCCGCUCGUGGCCCCGAUGCGAGCGGCGGCCCCCGGCGGUGGCGGGCGGCAGUGCUGCCGCCUUGUGGGCACAGGGCGGUACUGCAGCCCGCCACCCACGGCCGCCAUCUUGGGAGUGGCUUCUCGCGGACUCGCUUGACCUUCUCGAGAGGGCGCGAAAAAGAGGACGUUGGCAUUCGAGGACCCGUGUCUGUUUUCUACACUGCCUGAAUUGUCCCCAACGCCGGCGCCCCCCGACGGGAUUUUCCGCGGCGGUUCCGGUGCCGUGCACACGGGCUGUGGGGUCCCCACGGGCCGCCAUCUUGCGAGUCCCUGGUCGCGGACUCGCUUGAAAAGUGCUGCCGCCUUGUGGGCAGAGGGCGGUACUGCAGCCCCGCCAGCCAGCGCCCUGCCCCUUGCCGCUGGUGCCGGGGCGGGAAGGGCGAGGGGCGGGAGCGAGCAGCAAGCGGGGCGGUGUCUGUGAGUGCAGGGCAGGGGUGAAGGCGGCUCCGCGGCGGCGGCUCGGACGGCCCGAGCCUCAAAAACAAGCUCUGGUAAGGAAACAAGCUUUGUGGUAUGCAUGCAGAAGAGGUAAGGAAGAUUCCUCUCUGUUCUAAAUCUAAUGUACCCAAAAAAAUUUGCAUCAAAGUUUUUUGUACUGACGUUCUGGUGUAUUUUAUAUAUACAAAAGAACAUAUAUGAGUACAAAAAAUAUAUAUAUUAUGCUUAUAUGGUGAGUGUUCCUGAAGUGCUGUCAUCCCAACUUAUUUUUGUGACUUCACAAGAAGCAGUUCAAAUGUAUUAGAAAGCAAGUUGCAAACUCUAGUUUUAGACGAAUAAAAUCAUCUAGGCAUGCCUAUGCUAUAAUUCUAUAGAUACAUGCAUCUAUAACAUAUAUAAAACUGAUUUCAUUUACAUGAGCUCCUUGUCUACACUAAGCCAGGAAUUGCCAAAGGCUUGUUUUGAAGUUGAGACAGGAACAAUCCAUUAUUACUGAUUCCCAGAAUGCUUCCUUAUUUCAGGGGAAUAAAGAUCCUGUUUUUGGCAAAUUCCUCAAUGCAGAAGUACCUGCACUCAUAUAAGCAUUCCCUUUAUUUCUCUUUUAAUUUCAAAAAAAAAGUUAUUACAUGUGAAUCUGAUUUAUUCACAUUACUUUAGUCUGGGUUUUUUGCAUAUAUAAUUGCUCUUAAGGUUAUUGCACCUUGCCAGAAAGAAACCAAA